CAAAGAGAUUUUUAUAAUAUUGCAUUAUUUCCAAGUAUUGUAGGAUGCAUUGAUGGCACCCACAUAAAGAUACAAUCUCCAGGAGGAGAAGAUGGUGAGAUAUUCAGAAACAGGAAAGGCUAUUUCUCUAUAAAUGUCCAAGUUGUGGGAGAUUCUGACCUUAAGGUGCAAGAUAUUGUAGCACGAUGGCCAGGAUCAACACAUGACAUGACUAUUUAUUCAAAUAGUAGAAUACGUGCUAGGCUAGAAGGUGGAGAAUUUAGAAAUGGAAUUAUUCUAGGUGAUAGUGGUUAUGGUGUAGGUAAAUAUCUGCUAACACCAUUACAAAAUCCAGAAACUGCAGCAGAAAAAUUGUACAAUAAGGCCCAUAUCACAACACGAAACUCUGUUGAACGCUUGUUUGGUGUAUGGAAAAGGCGAUUUCCCAUAUUAGCAUAUGGCAUUAGGUUAAAAUUAGCCACUGCUUACGCUGUAAUUGUAGCAUCAGCAGUACUACAUAAUAUAAGUUUUUCGACAAUGUUUUUGUAACUGGAAACUAUUGAUAAUAGUACUUCCUUUUCGCGGCAACUAUAAUUAAGAGAACGCAUUCUCUUUUUCUU